UAGGGAAUCUUCCACAAUGGGCGAAAGCCUGAUGGAGCAACGCCGCGUGUGUGAUGAAGGGUUUCGGCUCGUAAAACACUGUUGUAAGAGAAGAAUGACAUUGAGGGUAACUGUUCAAUGUGUGACGGUAUCUUACCAGAAAGGAACGGCUAAAUAUGUGCCAG
rnacentral:rRNA from 1 species